AACAUAAAUGAAUCAAAACUUUCAACAACGGAUCUCUUGGUUCUGGCAUCGAUGAAGAACGCAGCGAAAUGCGAUAAGUAAUGUGAAUUGCAGAAUUCAGUGAAUCAUCGAAUCUUUGAACGCACAUUGCGCCCUCUGGUAUUCCGGAGGGCAUGCCUGUUCGAGCGUCAUUUCAAACCUCAAGCCUGGCUUGGUGAUGGGGCACUGCUUCUUACCCAAGAAGCAGGCCCUGAAAUUCAGUGGCGAGCUCGCCAGGACCCCGAGCGCAGUAGUUAAACCCUCGCUCUGGAAGGCCCUGGCGGUGCCCUGCCGUUAAACCCCCAACUUCUGAAAAUUUGACCUCGGAUCAGGUAGGAAUACCCGCUGAACUUAAGCAUAUCAAUAAGCGGAGGAAAAGAAACCAACAGGGAUUGCCCUAGUAACGGCGAGUGAAGCGGCAACAGCUCAAAUUUGAAAUCUGGCCUCGGCCCGAGUUGUAAUUUGCAGAGGAUGCUUCUGGCGCGGUGCCUUCCGAGUUCCCUGGAACGGGACGCCACAGAGGGUGAGAGCCCCGUAUGGUCGGACACCAAGCCUGUGUGAAGCUCCUUCGACGAGUCGAGUAGUUUGGGAAUGCUGCUCUAAAUGGGAGGUAAAUCUCUUCUAAAGCUAAAUACCGGCCAGAGACCGAUAGCGCACAAGUAGAGUGAUCGAAAGAUGAAAAGCACCUUGAAAAGGGGGUUAAAUAGUACGUGAAAUUGUUGAAAGGGAAGCACUUAUGACCAGACUUGGGCCGGGCGGCUCAUCAGGGGUUCUCCCCUGUGCACUCCGCCCGGCACAGGCCAGCAUCGGUUCUCGUGGGGGGAUAAGACCGUCAGGAACGUAGCACCCUCCGGGGUGUGUUAUAGCCUGGCGGACGAUACCCCCGUGGGGACCGAGGUCCGCGCUCCGCAAGGA
rnacentral:rRNA from 1 species